GCUGGGCGGAUUAGUGGCGAACGGGUGAGUAACACGUGAGUAACCUGCCCUUGACUCUGGGAUAAGCCCGGGAAACUGGGUCUAAUACCGGAUAGGAGCGCCUGUCGCAUGACGGGUGCUGGAAAGAUUUUUCGGUCAUGGAUGGACUCGCGGCCUAUCAGCUUGUUGGUGAGGUAAUGGCUCACCAAGGCGACGACGGGUAGCCGGCCUGAGAGGGUGACCGGCCACACUGGGACUGAGACACGGCCCAGACUCCUACGGGAGGCAGCAGUGGGGAAUAUUGCACAAUGGGCGGAAGCCUGAUGCAGCGACGCCGCGUGAGGGAUGACGGCCUUCGGGUUGUAAACCUCUUUCAGUAGGGAAGAAGCGAAAGUGACGGUACCUGCAGAAGAAGCACCGGCUAACUACGUGCCAGCAGCCGCGGUAAUACGUAGGGUGCGAGCGUUAUCCGGAAUUAUUGGGCGUAAAGAGCUCGUAGGCGGUUUGUCGCGUCUGUCGUGAAAGUCCGGGGCUUAACCCCGGAUCUGCGGUGGGUACGGGCAGACUAGAGUGCAGUAGGGGAGACUGGAAUUCCUGGUGUAGCGGUGGAAUGCGCAGAUA
rnacentral:rRNA from 1 species